UAGGGAAUCUUCGGCAAUGGGGGUAACCCUGACCGAGCAACGCCGCGUGAGUGAAGAAGGUUUUCGGAUCGUAAAGCUCUGUUGUUAAGGAAGUACGAGUGUGAGAAUGGAAAGUUCAUGCUGUGACGGUACUUAACCAGAAAGGGACGGCUAACUACGUGCCAGCAGCCGCGGUAAUACGUAGGUCCCGAGCGUUGUCCGGAUUUAUUGGGCGUAAAGCGAGCGCAGGCGGUUAGAAAAGUCUGAAGUGAAAGGCAGUGGCUCAACCAUUGUAGGCUUUGGAAACUGUUUAACUUGAGUGCAGAAGGGGAGAGUGGAAUUCCAUGUGUAGCGGUGAAAUGCGUAGAUAUAUGGAGGAACACCGGUGGCGAAAGCGGCUCUCUGGUCUGUAACUGACGCUGAGGCUCGAAAGCGUGGGGAGCGAACAGG
rnacentral:rRNA from 1 species